GCAGCCAUCCUUUAAAGAAAGCGUAAUAGCUCACUGGUCGAGUCGUCUUGCGCGGAAGAUUUAUCGGGGCUAAACUGUACACCGAAGCUGCGGGAUUGAUCUUAGGAUCAAUCGGUAGAGGAGCGUUCUGUAAGUCUGUGAAGGUGAACCGUGAGGUUUGCUGGAGAUAUCAGAAGUGCGAAUGCUGACAUGAGUAACGUGAAUACGGGUGAAAACCCCGUACGCCGAAAGUCCAAGGUUUCCUUGCGCAACGUUAAUCGGCGCAGGGUUAGUCGGCCCCUAAGGCGAGGCAGAAAUGCGUAGUCGAUGGGAAACAGGUUAAUAUUCCUGUACUUUUUGUUACUGCGAUGGGAUGACGGAGAAGGCUAGGUCAGCCGGAUAAUGGAUUCCGGUUUAAGCUUGUAGGUAGGGUGUUUAGGAAAAUCCGGACACCUAUUACUGAGGAGUGAUGACGGUCGUUGCGAGCUUGCUCAAUACGAGAAGUGAUUGAUGCCACGCUUCCUGGAAAAGUCUCUAAGCUUCAGGUAACAAAGAACCGUACCCCAAACCGACACUGGUGGACAAGUAGAGAAUACUAAGGCGUUGAGAUAACUUGGGUGAAGGAACUCGGCAAAAUGAUACCGUAACUUCGGGAGAAGGUAUGCCCCUGAUGGUGAUGAGACUUGCUCUCUAAGCUGCUGGGGGUCGCAGAGAAUAGGUAGCUGAGACUGUUUAUCAAAAACAUAGCACUCUGCAAACACGUAAGUGGACGUAUAGGGUGUGACACCUGCCCGGUGCCGGAAGGUUAAUUGAUGUGGUUAGCUUAGGCGAAGCCAUUGAUCGAAGCCCCGGUGAACGGCGGCCGUAACAAUAACGGUCCUAAGGUAGCGAAAUUCCUUGUCGGGUAAGUUCCGACCCGCAUGAAUGGUGNAACAAUGGCUACGCUGUCUCCACCCAAGACUCAGUGAAAUUGAAAUCGCUGUGAAGAUGCAGUGUACCCGCGGCUAGACGAGAAGACCCCGUGCACCUUUACUACAGCUUUACACUGAACUUUGCUCCUACUUGUGUAGGAUAGGUGGGAGGCUUUGAAGCAAGAACGCCAGUUUUUGUGGAGCCAUCCUUGAAAUACCACCCUGGUAUGAGUGAGGUUCUAACCUAGGCCCGUAAUCCGGGCUGGAGACAGUGUAUGGUGGGUAGUUUGACUGGGGCGGUCUCCUCCCAAAGAGUAACGGAGGAGCACAAAGGUACCCUCAGCACGGUCGGAAAUCGUGCAUUGAGUGCAAAGAUACAAGGGUGCUUGACUGUAAGACUGACAAGUCGAACAGGUAGGAAACUAGGUCUUAGUGAUCCGGUGGUUCUGUAUGGAAGGGCCAUCGCUCAACGGAUAAAAGGUACGCC
rnacentral:rRNA from 1 species